AGGACGAACGCUGGCGGCGUGCUUAACACAUGCAAGUCGAGCGGAAAGGCCCUUCGGGGUACUCGAGCGGCGAACGGGUGAGUAACACGUGAGUAAUCUGCCCCUAGCUCUGGGAUAGCUCCGGGAAACCGGGAUUAAUACCGGAUACGACCACUUUAGACAUCUGUUGUGGUGGAAAGAAUUUUGGCUAGGGAUGAGCUCGCGGCCUAUCAGCUUAUUGGUGGGGUAACGGCCUACCAAGGCGACGACGGGUAGCCGGCCUGAGAGGGCGACCGGCCACACUGGGACUGAGACACGGCCCAGACUCCUACGGGAGGCAGCAGUGGGGAAUAUUGCGCAAUGGGCGAAAGCCUGACGCAGCGACGCCGCGUGGGGGAUGAAGGCCUUCGGUUGUAAACCCCUUUCAGCAGGGACGAAGCGAAAGUGACGGUACCUGCAGAAGAAGCGCCGGCUAACUACGCGCCAGCAGCCGC
rnacentral:rRNA from 1 species